rnacentral:lncRNA from 1 species
UUUAAUUCACAGAGUUUGCUAUGUGCUGUCUGGCUAUCCAAGGAACCCAAUGAGAGCUGAUCUCAUCCUACUGAUUGAAUUUGCUGACACUCUUAUCAUUUCCUUUUACAGUUUUUAUGGUCCAGAAUGACUCUGUUGCCAGCACCUUCUUAUAGAAGGAAUUACUUUUCCAGGCAGCACAAUCAUGCUAUUUAUCAAAAGAAACAUUGGACAUCAGAAUGGACUUCAGAGUUGUGUCCCGAGACAUCUGGCUGACUUUUGGCAAGAAACUUCUCUGUCCUUUAGAGACUGAGCUUCAUCUCCAAGCACUCCAACAAAAUUGGAAUGAAAGGAGCUGGAGCUAUUCAGCUUUGGGUUGAAGAGAGGAUGAAGCACAAGCCCAGAGGAGCAGGAAGACAGACAACGUGUCGUUGGUUCCAGUUGUUCCCAGGUAAUGAAGACUUAGAAGCCAUUUGGACCAGAAGUAGGUUUGCUUCACCUGGCGAAAGCAAAUUUGUCACAGUGAUAUCCUGAGCUGCUAAAUACACUAAUAGAGAAGCUGAUCAUACAGUAUUUCAUUUUGUAAAUGUAUCAAAUAGCUCUCUUUAAUAUAUACCAAGUCCAUUCAUUAAACAAUCAUCACUGUAAAAAAAUCGAUGUUUGAAAUAGUGAUAACAAACCAACUCCAAAUGUGCAAAUUAACACUUCAUUUUUUGUUCUGCAUUGAUUAAGGGAAAAAACUCAGCUCUAUGUUCAUCUUCUUGCACGAUCUUCAUUUUUCACAGGAAUUUGUCUUUCUCUGUGUGUAUAUAAGAAGAUGGGGCCUAGGAAUGUAACUAUUCUUUCUUAAUCCAUAUUAGUGAGAAAAGCAGGGCAAACAAAUAUUUUACAGAUAAGAACAGACACUUGCAAGCUCAGUGAGUUGUUAAGAGCAAUUUUAAGGAAUAAAAGAUUUCUCAGUUCUUUGUUUUUAAAUUAU